rnacentral:rRNA from 1 species
AGUCGAACGCCCCGCAAGGGGAGUGGCAGACGGGUGAGUAACACGUGGGAACAUACCCUUCGGUUCGGAACAACGCCGGGAAACUGGCGCUAAUACCGGAUACGGCUUGAGGGCGAAAGAUUCAUCGCCGAAGGAUUGGCCCGCGUUCGAUUAGCUUGUUGGUGAGGUAACGGCUCACCAAGGCGACGAUCGAUAGCUGGUCUGAGAGGAUGGCCAGCCACAUUGGGACUGAGACACGGCCCAAACUCCUACGGGAGGCAGCAGUGGGGAAUAUUGGACAAUGGGCGCAAGCCUGAUCCAGCCAUGCCGCGUGAGUGAUGACGGCCUUAGGGUUGUAAAGCUCUUUCGCACGCGACGAUAAUGACGGUAGCGUGAGAAGAAGCCCCGGCCAACUUCGUGCCAGCAGCCGCGGUAAUACGAAGGGGGCUAGCGUUGUUCGGAAUCACUGGGCGUAAAGGGUGCGUAGGCGGGAUCUUAAGUCAGGGGUGAAAUCCCGAGGCUCAACCUCGGAACUGCCUUUGAUACUGGGGUCCUUGAGUCCGGAAGAGGUGAGUGGAACUGCGAGUGUAGAGGUGAAAUUCGUAGAUAUUCGCAAGAACACCGGUGGCGAAGGCGGCUCACUGGUCCGGAACUGACGCUGAGGCACGACAGCGUGGGGAGCAAACAGGAUUAGAUACCCUGGUAGUCCACGCCGUAAACGAUGAAUGCCAGCCGUUGGGUGAUUUAUCACUGAGUGGCGCAGCUAACGCUUUGAGCAUUCCGCCUGGGGAGUACGGUCGCAAGAUUAAAACUCAAAGGAAUUGAC